GACGAACGCUGGCGACGUGCUUAACACAUGCAAGUCGAACGGUGAUGCUCCAGCUUGCUGGAGUGGAUCAGUGGCGAACGGGUGAGUAACACGUGAGCAACCUGCCCCAGACUCUGGAAUAAGCGCUGGAAACGGCGUCUAAUACUGGAUACGAAACUGGCCCGCAUGGGCAUGGUUUGGAAAGUUUUUCGGUUUGGGAUGGGCUCGCGGCCUAUCAGCUUGUUGGUGAGGUAAUGGCUCACCAAGGCGACGACGGGUAGCCGGCCUGAGAGGGCGACCGGCCACACUGGGACUGAGACACGGCCCAGACUCCUACGGGAGGCAGCAGUGGGGAAUAUUGCACAAUGGGCGAAAGCCUGAUGCAGCGACGCCGCGUGAGGGAUGACGGCCUUCGGGUUGUAAACCUCUUUCAGCAGGGAAGAAGCGAAAGUGACGGUACCUGCAGAAGAAGCACCGGCUAACUACGUG
rnacentral:rRNA from 1 species